rnacentral:lncRNA from 1 species
CAAUUUUCUUUUAAUUUUAUUAUGAAUUCAAUGAUAUUUCCAAUUAUGUUUCGGAACUAAUUUUCCUUAGCUAGGGCUACGAUGUAGCCAUGACUAUGAAUGCUUAAUUUCUGAAGUGAGUUAUUUUUAAGUUUUCAAUUUCAUUGAGUAUCGUUUGUUGUGUUUAUAUGCUUGGUUUUAGUCUUGGUGAUUAGCUACCAUCUUGACUUUUACUUGGUAAAUUUGAUGCAAGUUGUGCAGAUGCCAUGUUUUCAACUUGAGUGAUAGCUUCUUGCAAAUAGAUACCAUGAAUUACCUAGUAGUAGAUGCCAUACUCUAGGAUUUGUGUAGUCUUUAUAUAAAUUUUCCAGUGAUCGUAAAUGAGUUUCAUGAUGUUAAACUAUUCCAGAUGCCAUGGAUGGUUGCAAAUUGAGAUAUAUGUAAUAGUCUAGAUGCCAUAGAUAUUACAUGUGUUAGGGAAAUUUGACUAUCAAUGAGAUUGAGUACUUGUUAAUAAUUUGUUGCAGGAAAUAAGUAGGAUUGGUUAUGGUGAGUCGGACGCUCUAGCGUUUUGCUCGACUGAAUUACAAUUUGUGUUCUUGGCUGCCACUAUUUGCAUUGUGAUCAAACUUUCUUGUUUUUAUUUGUUUUUACUAUUAGUUUCAAUUCUCAAAAACAUCUUUCAUCAAUCUUUGCUAGUUUCACUUCGUUGCAAUUGGAUUUAAGUUAGUUGAUAAGAAUUAAAUCGUUUUCUAAGGGACGAUAUUAAGUGCUUGCUUUCUAUACUAUCAAACGAUUCGUACGCUUGCGAGCAUAAAAUUUGGAACUAAGUUGGACUAAUUUCGGUUAGUUUAAAUUUCGCAA